AUGGGAUGGAGCUGGGUCUUUCUCUUCCUCCUGUCAGUAACUGCAGGUGUCCACUCCCAGGUCCAGCUGCAACAGUCUGGAGCUGAGCUGGUGAGGCCUGGGGCCUCAGUGAAGUUGUCCUGCAAGGCUUCUGGCUACACCUUUAAUGACUAUGAAAUUCACUGGGUGAAGCAGAGUCUGAAGCAGGGACUGGAAUGGAUUGGAGCUAUUCAUCCUGGAAGUGGUGGUACUGCCUACAAUCAGAAGUUCAAGGGGAAGGCCACUUUGACUGCAGACAAAUCCUCCAGCACAGCCUACAUGGAGCUCAGCAGCCUGACUUCUGAGGACUCUGCAGUCUAUUUCUGUGCAAGACACAGUGCUGCAACCACAUCCUGA